GACGAACGCUGGCGGCGUGCUUAACACAUGCAAGUCGAACGGAAAGGCCCUGCUUUUGUGGGGUGCUCGAGUGGCGAACGGGUGAGUAACACGUGAGUAACCUGCCCUUGACUUUGGGAUAACUUCAGGAAACUGGGGCUAAUACCGGAUAGGAGCUCCUGCUGCAUGGUGGGGGUUGGAAAGUUUCGGCGGUUGGGGAUGGACUCGCGGCUUAUCAGCUUGUUGGUGGGGUAGUGGCUUACCAAGGCUUUGACGGGUAGCCGGCCUGAGAGGGUGACCGGCCACAUUGGGACUGAGAUACGGCACAGACUCCUACGGGGGGCAGCAGUGGGGAAUAUUGCACAAUGGGCGGAAGCCUGAUGCAGCAACGCCGCGUGCGGGAUGACGGCCUUCGGGUUGUAAACCGCUUUCGCCUGUGACGAAGCGUGAGUGACGGUAAUGGGUAAAGAAGCACCGGCUAACUACGUG
rnacentral:rRNA from 1 species